AGGCUCCUCGACAACAAGAUGUCAAACAAUGUGGUUACUAUGUGAUGCGAUUUAUGAGACAAAUUGUUGAAGAAGUUGAAAUUAUCGAAAGAGAUUCACUACGAUCUAUAUUCACACAAGCAGAGUAUUCUCGAGAAGAAAUUGAUGAGGUGCGAUCGGAGUUGGCAGAAUGUAUACAAGAUCAUAUUUAUGAGUAGGUGGAUACAGGACAGUCGAGAUCAGUACACUAAGGAG